rnacentral:rRNA from 1 species
UACGUAGGGACCGAGGCGUUGUCCGGAUUCAUUGGGCGUAAAGAGCUCGUAGGCGGCCACUCAAGUCGAAUGUGAAACCUCGAGGCUUAACCUCGAGCCUGCAUUCGAUACUGGGCGGCUAGAGUCUGGUAGGGGGAUCUGGAAUUCCUGGUGUAGCGGUGGAAUGCGCAGAUAUCAGGAGGAACACCGGUGGCGAAGGCGGGAUCCUGGGCCAGUACUGACGCUGAGGAGCGAAAGCGUGGGGAGCAAACAGG